rnacentral:rRNA from 1 species
GACGAACGCUGGCGGCAGGCCUAACACAUGCAAGUCGAACGAGUGGCGGACGGGUGAGUAAUGUCUGGGAAACUGCCCGAUGGAGGGGGAUAAAUACUGGAAACGGUAGCUAAUACCGCAUACCAUCGGAUGUGCCCAGAUGGGAGUAGCUAGUAGGUGGGGUAACGGCUGACCUAGGCGACGCUCCCUAGAUGGUCUGAGAGGAUGACCAGCCACACUGGAACGGAGACCCGGUCCAGACUCCUACGGGAGGCAGCAGUGGGGAAUAUUGCACAAUGGGCGCAAGCCUGAUGCAGCCAUGCCGCGUGUAUGAAGAAGGCCUUCGGGUUGUAAAGUACGUUCAGCGAGGAGGCGUUACUCGCAGAAGAAGCACCGGCUAACUCCGUGCCAGCAGCCGCGGUAAUUC